CCUACGGGCGGCAGCAGUGGGGGAUAUUGCACAAUGGGGGAAACCCUGAUGCAGCGACGCCGCGUGGGCGAAGAAGUAUUUCGGUAUGUAAAGCCCUAUCAGAAGGGAAGAAGAAAUGACGGUAUCUGAGUAAGACGCACCGGCUAAAUACGUGCCAGCAGGCGCGGUAAUAGGCAGGGUGCAAGCGUUAUCCGGAUUUACUGGGGGUAAAGGGAGCGCAGGCGGCACGGCAAGCCUGAUGGUAAAGGCCGCGGCCCAACCGCGGGACUGCAUUGGAAACUACCGGACUGGAGUGCCGGAGAGGUAGGCGGAAUUCCUAGUGUAGCGGUGAAAUGCGUAGAUAUUAGGAGGAACACCAGUGGCGAAGGCGGCCUACUGGACGGUGACUGACGCUGAGGCUCGAAAGCGUGGGGAGCAAACAGGAUUAGAUACCCCAGUAGUC
rnacentral:rRNA from 1 species